rnacentral:rRNA from 1 species
UACGGAGGAUCCGAGCGUUAUCCGGAUUUAUUGGGUUUAAAGGGAGCGUAGGCGGCCUGUUAAGUCAGGGGUGAAAGACGGUGGCUCAACCAUCGCAGUGCCUUUGAUACUGACAGGCUUGAAUGUAGUUGAGGUGGGCGGAAUGUGACAAGUAGCGGUGAAAUGCAUAGAUAUCGUCCAGAACGCCGAUUGCGAAGGCAGGUGGCUACGCUUCGUCUGACACUGAGGCACGAAAGCGUGGGGAGCGAACAGG